rnacentral:lncRNA from 1 species
GAAUCUACCACCGUGUUACUGAUGUUCAGGUAGGCUUAAAUCUCUCUCUGUUUGCUUGUGAGCCUAGCUCCUAACUGCUGAGCCAUCUCCCCAGCCUCUGGCCACCACCUUUUUAUGUAGCGGAGGAGGACAGUGCUGGAUAGUUUUAUGUCAACUCGAUAGAAGCUAAAGUCAUCUGAGAAGAGGGAACUUCAAAAUGCCUCCAUAAGAUCGGGCUACACAGAGCCCUUCUCUGAUCCUGAGACUUCCUGUCACUGGAGCACUGGUCUCUGGCCUCUGUGUCACUCUUUGGAGCUGGGAGGAGGUGGGGCAGAAGCAAAGACACAAUGGAUGAAGGUGACCCAAAGGGACUGUUCAGAUGGAAAAGAAGACCCACAGACAACAUGGGGAAACCACUCACACAGCGAGUGUGCGGAGGCUGAGCCAUGCUUGUGAACCAUGUCAUCAGCUGGCAAGGAGAAGACAGGCAAAGGUUGCUUCGGUCACGGUGUUCCAUCACAGCAAUAGAAACCCUAACAAAUCCAGGACGGAUGCUUCGUGUCACCCAGGAGUUAGGAGUGAAAACUGAGGUGACCAAGGAGCCCUUUGACGUUGGCAAAGGUUUCUUCUCAGCCUUCGUUCCAGUCACUUCCCACAUGUUCUGCAAGCCCAGACAUUCCCCAGAGGGGUUCCAGGAAGCUCUCUCUCCACAAAGCUCUCCCUGGAAGCAGCCUGGAUCCCAGCGAGGCGGGGGAAGCACUUUGUCAUGUAGACGGCUGUGGAAGAAGUGAACGGAAGCCAUCAGCAGAUUCUGCCUUGCCUGGCCCAGGGGACUGUAGAUCCUGGUUCUCAGGCCUGACACCCCAUAGACACCACCCUGAAAGCUCUAGAGCAGCCUGUGGGUCAUGACCCCCCCUUUUGGUGUGUGUGUGUGUGUGUGUCACCUAUUAGCUAUCCUGCAUUUCCAAUACAUACAUUAUGAUUCAUAGUUGACAGGUCACCACCGGCAGAGCACUUAGCACAUGCAGGGUACUGAGCUAGGCGGUGGGACCAGAGAGCAUCUUUUGGCUGCAAAGGAUUGCCAGUGUAGAAGAAGAACAGACCUCCUUGAGAAAUCUAGUACAGCUGCACCGUGCUUCUGGGAUCCUCUACCCAAGUCUCCUGAACCACUGACAUCUGCUUCUGCGUCUGCGCUGCCUGACUCUGCCUCCCAACUCCAGGACCCUCGUGAUGACGCUU